UUCCCCCACCCAGCCCGUGGUGGCGGGGCAGAGUCUGCACUCUCCAAAGAGACAGUUCUGCUGGGAGUUCUUGCUUUUAACCCUGUGUUCUCAGAGGCGUGCCCAUGCCUUCAGUGGCCACUCCAGGUGCCAAUAUCCAAACCUGACCACUGAUUGCUUUGAGACCGGCUACCUGAGAAAAUUCACUUCCGUGUCCAACCAUGAAAAUCUGCGUUUCCAGAUGUUCCUUUGUUUUGCUCCUUGUGCUCAGGGUCCCCUGCACAGCCCGUGUGGCAGAGCCGGUGCCUGUCCUGCCGCAGUGUCCAAAGGCGGCCCCCCCGGCGGGCAGGGCCGGCAGCUCCCCGGGGCCGGGCAGCGGCCGGGGCGUCCCGCAGCCUCCUGGGGGCCGGGGGCCACUGCCGGCCCUGCCCGGGGCUGGUGGGCUCAGGCAGCGCCCGGCGCUGAGCCCCGGCUGCCCCACAGCCCCGGCCCGGCCCCGCAGCUCCCCACAGGCCCCCAGCCCUGCUCCCGGUCCCGCACCUCUGCGCCCGCUGCUGCCGCUGCCCACCACAGAGAAACCCCUGACAUCCUGACCUCCUGCUUUUCCUCUCCUGGAAACCGGGCAUGGAAAGGAUCUGGAUCAGCUGGCAAAUUGUGAGGAUAAAACAGUGCUGGAAAAUAAAAAUAAAGCAAUUACCGCCCUGAUGUGUCACUCGUCUGUCUCCUGGUCACUCCCGGGUCCCCAAUCAAUCCCCGGUGCCGCCGCCAGCCAAGGGAGCCGAUCACCCAAAGUGGGUGAGGCACCUUCCGCUGCACUCUCUGCCCGCUCCCGGAAGGUGGAAGGAAUUCGGGAUGAGCCCCCGGGUGUGCGGAAAAACUGACAUCACCAGAGGAUUCUGUCCACAAAGCAGACAGAGGAGUCCUAUAAAGUAAUUUCAUUCCUAGAAAUGAGGCAGGAUAUGUCACAUUCCCCAUGGGAUCUCUCCAAUUGUUGAAGGACAGAGCCUCCUUUUCACCCUAAUUCUCCUGGCUACAUCUCUGUCUCCCUUUCCCCAUUAGCUGAAGUACUUGAGAGCUGCGGACUUCCCAGUACAUCUACUACAUACCCCCUUAAUAUGCUCCCCAUUUUUAUAUAGCAAACGAUAUUCAUGGCUCUGUUAAGUCUUUGUUGUUCUUCUGGAAGUUCAUGAAUUGAGCAGGACCUUGGCUGAGCAGCAGUCUGUGUCAUCAAUUAAUAACAUUUUCUGAAACCGAUGGCUUCUCCUGUCACUUCCUUACAUAGAGGUUCCCGGCCCUAUCUCCGAGCAGAUUCAGAGCAUCUGUUUGUAAAGACACUUUGCUCUUGUUCCUUUCAUGGGGGUCCCCCGUUUGUGGGACAUCCCCCCUGGAGCAGGGUGUCCCCUCUUUGCUGCAGCCGCAGCCCUCAGGCAGAGCUCAGCCAGUCAGAGCCCGCGGCGCUGAUGACUCACCAGUUUGUUAGCGUUCAGAAACACAUAAUCUCGGGAUAUGAUUACAUGCAGGUGCUUUUAUUGAGAGCUCUGGGAGUCGGAGUACAAACUCAGAUCUGACUCCGAACAUAAGUUUCGAACUGAACGUAUUUUAUACCCUAUCAUUGUAUAAUUAUUAAACUUACAUUGUUCUAUU